rnacentral:rRNA from 1 species
UACGAAGGGGGCUAGCGUUGCUCGGAAUCACUGGGCGUAAAGCGCACGUAGGCGGAUUCUUAAGUCAGGGGUGAAAUCCUGGAGCUCAACUCCAGAACUGCCUUUGAUACUGAGGGUCUUGAGUUCGGGAGAGGUGAGUGGAACUGCGAGUGUAGAGGUGAAAUUCGUAGAUAUUCGCAAGAACACCAGUGGCGAAGGCGGCUCACUGGCCCGAUACUGACGCUGAGGUGCGAAAGCGUGGGGAGCAACAGGG